rnacentral:tRNA from 1 species
GCGGGUGUGGCGGAAUUGGUAGACGCCCUGGAUUUAGGUUCCAGUGUCCGAAAGGACGUGGGGGUUCGAGUCCCUUCGCCCGCACCA